rnacentral:lncRNA from 1 species
GAUAGUGUGAACAUCCUUUCUGGAUUGUGCCUGAAAAAAAAUUGCUCACUAGAAUUCUAAAUUUCCCCGAUGUGUCAGUGAAUCUUUGUUUUGACAAAUUGUUCCAUAUCAGAAGCUUUAAAUAUAUCAGUUAUAUAAUUUGCAAAUAGGAGUGAUUUCUAUCAGAGAUUUAGACACAACUUUGCUUCUUCAUCAAAAAGAAUUCUAAAGUACUAAUUUUGCAUUGUGCUAUUUUAGGGUAUGUACAAAGAGAAUUAUUUAAAUAUGGUUCCAAACCCUCAGGACUGUACAAUCUCAGAAAACACUGGCAAGAAAAAAUAUAAAAAGACAUGGAAAAUGCUAACCAACCACAGAACAAAGGCAAGAAAGUGACAGAGUUGACCGUGAUUUUAAGUUCAGUUCACGUAUAAAUGUUUUGUAACUUAUGUUGUUGAUAAAAUUUUUAAGGACAAAAUUCUGAAAUUUAUUAUGUUUCCAGUUCAUUCAAAAUGUAUUUUUACAUUAUUGGUACUCAAUAAACUAUAGAGAGGAAACCUCUUUGGGACAAGGGAU